GCUCGGGGGUGGCGGGGAGGGGGGCGGGGCACGGUUCCCUGGGUUUUUCUGCACAUCUGUUGCAGC
rnacentral:pre_miRNA from 1 species